rnacentral:rRNA from 1 species
UUUGCAUGGGGGGCUUGCUAUACAUGCAAAGUCGAGCGAACUGAUUAGAAGCUUGCUUCUAUGACGUUAGCGGCGGACGGGUGAGUAACACGUGGGCAACCUGCCUGUAAGACUGGGAUAACUUCGGGAAACCGAAGCUAAUACCGGAUAGGAUCUUCUCCUUCAUGGGAGAUGAUUGAAAGAUGGUUUCGGCUAUCUCUUACAGAUGGGCCCGCGGUGCAUUAGCUAGUAGGUGAGGUAACGGCUCACCAAGGCAACGAUGCAUAGCCGACCUGAGAGGGUGAUCGGCCACACUGGGACUGAGACACGGCCCAGACUCCUACGGGAGGCAGCAGUAGGGAAUCUUCCGCAAUGGACGAAAGUC